AGCGAGCGCUGGCGGCAGGCUUAACACAUGCAAGUCGAACGGGCACUUCGGUGCUAGUGGCAGACGGGUGAGUAACACGUGGGAACGUACCUUUCGGUUCGGAAUAAUCCAGGGAAACUUGGACUAAUACCGGAUACGCCCUUCGGGGGAAAGAUUCAUCGCCGAUAGAUCGGCCCGCGUCUGAUUAGCUAGUUGGUGAGGUAAUGGCUCACCAAGGCGACGAUCAGUAGCUGGUCUGAGAGGAUGAUCAGCCACAUUGGGACUGAGACACGGCCCAAACUCCUACGGGAGGCAGCAGUGGGGAAUAUUGGACAAUGGGCGCAAGCCUGAUCCAGCCAUGCCGCGUGAGUGAUGAAGGCCUUAGGGUUGUAAAGCUCUUUUGUCCGGGAAGAUAAUGACUGUACCGGAAGAAUAAGCCCCGGCUAACUUCGUG
rnacentral:rRNA from 1 species